AUGAUCUUGGCUCACUGUAACCUCCACCACCCAGGAUCAAGUGAUUCUCCUGCCUCAGCCUCCCGAAUAGCUGGGACUACAGGCAUGUGCCACGUGCCCGGCUAAUUUUUUAUAUUUUUAGCAGAGAUGGGGUUUUACCAUGUUGGCCAGGCUGGUCUUGAACUCCUGACCUUGUGAUCCGCCUGCCUCGGCCUCCCAAAGUGCUGGGAUUAUAGGCGUGAGCCACAGUGCCCAGCCUACUCUUAAAGGACCACGUCUUAUCCUUUGUCUCCUGAAAGCAUAGCCCAGAACACAGGAGACUCUCCACCAGUAUUUGUGUACUGAAUAAAGGAAUGAAGGAAACCUUCAGGCCUUCCCUCCUCAGAAGAAUCCUAAAAGGAACUUGAUUCAGGGAAAGACUUCAACUCAAAGGGGCUGGUAGGCCAUUUUAAAUGGAACAGAUGGAAGGCCAUCUUCAAAGGUACUGCCUACCUGAACCUGCCUUGUCCCAAAGGACACACUUCAAUCUGGGGAGAGUUUAAAGUUGUAGACAUAUCCAUUUUCAUUUAAGGAAUAUGAAGAUCAGGGAGGCAAAAUAUAGAGAUAUAGAGAGGAAAAACUGAGAGAUGAUCAGAAAUUCAGACGCAUUCGGAAUGAGCACCCUUGACCAUACCAAGAACAAAGACUCUAUAAAAAUGUGAAGUCUUAUUAUUGUUCAUCCAUGUUCUACGUGGGAUCCACCCAAGACAUUGAAAACUGUACAGAACAGGGUGAAAUUGAAUCAGAUCAUUCUGUACUCCUAACAAGGUCCACCCCAUGAGAGACUUGCAGCAGAAUUAAUGACACUGUAUAUUUUCCUCUACUAACAACAACAAGAACAACAACAACAACAAUCUAGGAAAAUCAAAGGCAGCCCGACAUGGAAAAAAACACAAAAUGAAUAUUUGGAUUACAAAUAGUGUGAUGGGAAGAACACACUGCCAAAAGUCCACCUAGUAUGUUGAAAUUACUGUUUCUAGCACAUAUAAGAUUUGCUGCCAAUUUGUACUGACUUCUGAAAAAUACUUUAUCCAUUGUCUUCUUACAUCAGAAUCAACUCCCUAAAUUCUUCAGCACUGGCUUUGUAAACUGGUUUCUGGUCUUUGUUUCUGGUGAAUAACAAUAAGGCAAUGUAGAAGAAAGCAAGUCCCAUCAAAGGGAGCUCCAGUCUCUAUAGACUGAUAAAAAGGAGCCUCAGAACUUAAACCUCUGGAUCAGGAGAAUCAAAAAACAUCAUGCCUCUCUAUGAUACCCGCCCAAACUCUUUCAGCUAAACAGAAGCACUUUCAAAUAUACAAUUCCGGCAGAGUCUGCAUUUUUGUUGUAAGAGCCUCAUGUUUUUAGUCAGACACAUCCGGGAGUUGAGUGCUUUGGAUGACACAAAACAAAGGCUCCAUGUUGCCUGUCACACCACAAGCUAUUAAUGACAAGCAGAUCUGACCUCUUCCCCCAGCUCCUGCAUCCACUGAAGGCUCUGUCACUUCCUCACUCUCAGCUCACUUGUAUUCUGAUUCUGUUCUAUAGACAAAACCUUGGUUUACAUUAAUAUAUAAAGCUGCUCAGGAGAAUCCUUCUUAGGAAUCACUCUGAACAUUAAAACUGAUUCAUUUAAAAACGCACACCCACACAAAUGGGAAAAGCAGUCUUCGCUUGCGGAUUGGAAGAAUCAAUAUCAUUAAAAGAACUAUACUACCCAAAGCAAUCUACAGAUUCAACACUAUUCCUAUCCAACAUCAUUUUUUAAAUUUAGAAAAAAACUAUUAUGAAAUUCGUAUGGAAUGAGAAAAGCCCCAUUAGCUAAAACAACCCUGAAUAAAAAGAACAAAGCCAGAGGCAUCACAUUAUCUGACUUCAAACUAUAUUAUGAGGCUACAGUAACCAAAGAAGCAUCAUACUAGUACACAAACAGACACAUAGACCAAUGGAACAGAAUAGAGAAUCCAGAAAUAAAGCCACACACCUACAACCAUCUGGUCUUUGACAAAGUCGACAAAAAUAAGCAAUGGGGAGAGGAUUCCCUAGCCAAUAAGUGGUGCUGAGAUAACUGGCUAACCAUAUGCAGAAGAAUGAAACUAGACCCCUACCUUUUUCCAUAUACAAAAACUAACUUGAGAUGGAUUAGAGAUUUAAAUGUAAGACCUCAAACUAUAAAAAUCCUAGAGAAAACCUAGGAAAUACCCUUCCCGACAUUGGCCUUGGCGAGGAAUUUAUGGCUAAGGCCUCAAAAGCAAUCACAACAAAAACAAAGACUGACAAGUGGGACCUAAUUAAACUAAAAAGCUUCAGCACAGCAAAAGAAACUAUCAACAGAAUAAACAGACAACCUACAGAAUGGGAGAAGAUAUUUACAAACUCUGUAUAUGACAAAGUUCCAAUAUCCAGAAUCUGUAAGGAACUUAAUUUGACAAGCAAAAACCAAAUAACUCCAUUAAAAGGUGGGCAAAGGAUAUGAACAGACAUUUCCCAAAAGAAGAAGACAAACAAAUAGCCAAUGAACAUAUGAAGAAAUGCUCAACAUUACUAAUUAUCAGAGAAAUGCAAAUCAAAACCACAAUGAGAUACCAUCUCACACUAGUAGAAAUAGCGAUAAUUAAAAAGUAAAAACAAACAACAAACAAAAAACAGAUGCUUCCAGCCUGGGCAACGUAACUGGGACCCCAUCUCUACAAAAUAAAAAAAAAAUUAGCCACGCGUGGUGGUGCACACCUGUAGUCCCAGUUACUUAGGAGGCUGAGGUAGGAGGAUUGCUUGAGCCUAGAAGGUCAAAGUUGCAGUGAGCCAUGAUUGCACCACUGCACUCCAGCCUGGAUGAGAGAGCAAGACCCUGUCUUGAAAAAUAAAAAAAAAAAACAAAUGUUAGUGGGGCUGUGGAGAAAAGGGAACACUUAUACACUAUUGGUGGGAAUGUGAAUUAGUGCAGCCACUGUGGAAAGCAGUUUGGAGAUAUUUCAAAUAAAUUAAAACAGAACUACCAUUCAACCAAGGAGUCCCGUUACUGGGUACACACCCAGAGGAAAAUAAAUCACUCUACAAAAAAGUCACAUGCACUUGUAUGUUCACUGCAGCAGUACUCACAAUAGCCAAGACGUAAAAUCAACCUAGGUGCCCAUCAACAGUGGAUUGCAUAAAGAAAAUAUGGUACAUAUACACCAUGAAAUCCUAUGCAGCCAUAAAAAAGAAUGAAAUCAUGUCCUUUGCAGCUACAUGGAUGCAGCUUGGAGGCCAUUAUCCUAAGCAAAUUAACACAGGAACAGAAAAGCAAAUGCCAUAUGUUCUCACAUAUAAGUAGGAGCUAAACAUUGGGUACAUGUGGAUAUAAAGAUGGGAACAACAGACACUGGAACUGGGAAUACAGACUACUAAAGAAUGGAAAGAAGGAGGGGGCAAAGGUUGAAAAAAUACCUAUUGGGUUCUCUGCUCACUACCAUAGUAAUGACGGGAU
rnacentral:lncRNA from 10 species